rnacentral:rRNA from 1 species
GUAGGUGGCGAGCGUUGUCCGGAUUUAUUGGGCGUAAAGAGCUCGUAGGCGGUUUAAUAAGUCGGAUGUGAAAGUCCAGGGCUCAACCUGGGAACUGCAUCUGAUACUGUUGGACUAGAGUACGGGAGAGGUGAGUGGAAUUCCGAGUGUAGCGGUGAAAUGCGUAGAUAUUCGGAGGAACACCAAUUGCGAAGGCAGCUCACUGGGCCGCUAUCGACGCUGAGGAGCGAAAGCUAGGGGAGCAAACAGGAUUAGAUACCCUGGUAGUCCACGCCGUAAACGAUGGAUACUAGACGUUGGAAUUGGAUUAACGAUUUCUGUGUCGCAGCUAACGCGUUAAGUGUCCCGCCUGGGGAGUACGGUCGCAAGAUUAAAACUCAAAGGAAUUGACGGGGACCCGCACAAGCGGUGGAGCAUGUGGUUUAAUUCGAUGAUACCCGAAGAACCUUACCAGGACUUGACAUAUAGGGAAAAGUUAUAGAAAUAUAAUGUGCAUUAGCGCCCUAUACAGGUGGUGCAUGGCUGUCGUCGGCUCGUGUCGUGAGAUGUUGGGUUAAGUCCCGCAACGAGCGCAACCCACGUUUUUAGUUGCCAGCAUUUAGUUGGGCACUCUAGAAAGACCGCCGGUGAUAAACCGGAGGAAGGUGUGGAUGACGUCAAGUCAUCAUGCCCCUUACACCCUGGGCUACACACGUACUACAAUGCUACGGACAAAGGGCAGCAAACU